AUCGGUGAUUUAUGGACUGCCUUGCCCUUGCAGGGAGCUGGGGUGCGACCUGGGCGGAGACAGGGUGCGGCUGCUGCUGAAGCGGC
rnacentral:SRP_RNA from 1 species